rnacentral:rRNA from 1 species
AUCUUCCGCAAUGGGCGAAAGCCUGACGGAGCGACGCCGCGUGAGCGAAGAAGGCCUUCGGGUCGUAAAGCUCUGUUGUGAGGGACGAAGGUAGCGCCGUUCGAAGAGGGCGGCGCGGUGACGGUACCUCGACGAGAAAGCCCCGGCUAACUACGUGCCAGCAGCCGCGGUAAUACGUAGGGGGCGAGCGUUGUCCGGAAUUAUUGGGCGUAAAGCGCGCGCAGGCGGUCUCUUAAGUCUAGAUGUGAAAGCCCACGGCUCAACCGUGGAGGGUCAUUGGAAACUGGGGGACUUGAGGGCAGGAGAGGAGAGCGGAAUUCCCACGUGUAGCGGUGAAAUGCGUAGAGAUGUGGAGGAACACCAGUGGCGAAGGCGGCUCUCUGGCCUGCACCUGACGCUGAGGCGCGGAAAGCGUGGGGAGCAAACAGGAUUAGAUACCCUGGUAGUCCACGCCGUAAACGAUGAGUGCUAAGUGUUAGAGGGGUCACACCCUUUAGUGCUGCAGCUAACGCGAUAAGCACUCCGCCUGGGGAGUACGGCCGCAAGGCUGAAACUCAAAGGAAUUGACGGGGGCCCGCACAAGCGGUGGAGCAUGUGGUUUAAUUCUUGAAGCAACGCGAAGAACCUUACCAGGUCUUGACAUCCCCUGACAACCCAAGAGAUUGGGCGUUCCCCCUUCGGGGGGACAGGGUGACAGGUGGUGCAUGGUUGUCGUCAGCUCGUGUCGUGAGAUGUUGGGUUAAGUCCCGCAACGAGCGCCAACCCUCGCCUCUAGUUGCCAGCAUUCGGUUGGGCACUCUAGAGGGACUG